rnacentral:rRNA from 1 species
UACGUAGGUGGCAAGCGUUGUCCGGAUUUACUGGGCGUAAAGGAUGCGUAGGCGGACAUUUUAAGUCAGAUGUGAAAUACCCGAGCUUAACUUGGGUGCUGCAUUUGAAACUGGGUGUCUAGAGUGCAGGAGAGGUAAGUGGAAUUCCUAGUGUAGCGGUGAAAUGCGUAGAGAUUAGGAAGAACACCAGUGGCGAAGGCGACUUACUGGACUGAUAACUGACGCUGAGGCAUGAAAGCGUGGGGAGCAAACAGG